UGCCUACAGAAGUUGUGUGCUCAUUCUCAGGACAUUGAUGGAGAAUGAAAGAUUUCAGCAGAUCUGAAUGACCUUCCCUCCAUAAUAUAUUGCUGUACAGAGCUUGCUGAACUCUCCUGAUGGCUUUGUUUGUUGCUUGGAAAUGAUCAGAUAAAGGUGUUAGUUCAGGGAAGGAAAGAGGAGGAAGUCCUGAAGCAGCUCUAAAUAUACAACAAGAUGACUGGCAUAGAACAUAAAGUCAACAAGGAAUAAGUAAAGAGGAACUAGGAUUUCUUCUCUGAUACAAUUCAUGAUGAAACACAGUUCACCUCAGUUGAAUUCUUAUGCAAUUCAUGCAAUACCCAAAUACCCACAGUCACACCAAAAUAUAAAUCACUUUAAUGCAGUGUGCUUCAUUAGCAUGUAGAAGUGCAGAUAGAUAGAAGGCAUGCUUCCCAAAACAUAAGCAAAUCAAGCAUGGGGGACUGGAGCAUGCUGACCAGGAUUGAUGAUUGGUACUGGACUCAGGUCACCAUAAUCUUCUUCCUGAGACAACUGGGUUACAGAUUGGUGAUGCAACAAUCAUGAGCAAGGACAGAAGAGUUGCAGUCAUGCCUG